UAAAGACGAAUGUUUACUUUUGUUUCUUC
rnacentral:sRNA from 1 species